UGACGGUAACUUACCAGAAAGGGACGGCUAACUACGUGCCAGCAGCCGCGGUAAUACGUAGGUCCCGAGCGUUGUCCGGAUUUAUUGGGCGUAAAGCGAGCGCAGGCGGUUUAAUAAGUCUGAUGUGAAAGCCCACGGCUCAACCGUGGAACUGCAUCGGAAACUGUCAUUCUUGAGUGCAGAAGAGGAGAGUGGAACUCCAUGUGUAGCGGUGGAAUGCGUAGAUAUAUGGAAGAACACCAGUGGCGAAGGCGGCUCUCUGGUCUGCAACUGACGCUGAGGCUCGAAAGCAUGGGUAGCGAACAGGAUUAGAUACCCUG
rnacentral:rRNA from 1 species